rnacentral:rRNA from 1 species
CGUGUGUAGGCGGAUUGGUAAGUACCUUGUGAAAUCCCACGGCUCAACCGUGGAACUGCUUGGUAUACUGCUUAUCUUGAGCCACUUAGGGGCUGUCGGAACAAACGGUGGAGCGGUGAAAUGCGUAGAUAUCGUUUGGAACGCCAACGGUGAAAACAGACAGCUGAGAGUGUGCUGACGCUGAGACACGAAAGCCAGGGGAGCGAACGGGAUUAGAUACCCCGGUAGUCCUGGCCCUAAACGAUGUCGACUAGAUCGUGGUGCCUCUGACGGUAUCACGGUCGAAGCAAAAGUGCUAAGUCGACCGCCUGGGAAGUACGGUCGCAAGGCUAAAACUCAAAGGAAUUGACGGGGGCUCACACAAGCGGUGGAGCAUGUGGUUCAAUUCGAAGCAACGCGCAGAACCUUACCUGGGCUUGACAUGCCAGGAUUAUCCCCAUGAAAGUGGGGUAGGCCCUUCGGGGUACAACUGGUACAGGUGCUGCAUGGCUGUCGUCAGCUCGUGUCGUGAGAUGUCGGGUUAAGUCCCUUAACGAGCGAAACCUUUGCCCUUAGUUACCAGCGGGUUAUGCCGGGGACUCUAAGGGGACUGCCGGUGUCAAACCGGAGGAAGGUGGAGAUGACGUCAAGUCCUCAUGGCCUUUAUGCCCAGGGCCACACACGUGCUACAAUGGAGUGCACAAAGCGAACCUAAAACGCGAGUUCGAGGAAAUCGCACAAAUCACUCCCCAGUUCAGAUUGGAGGCUGCAACUCGCCUCCAUGAAGUUGGAAUCGCUAGUAAUCGCGGAUCAGCUACGCCGCGGUGAAUGUGUUCCUGAGCCUUGUACACACCGCCCGUCAAGUCAUGGGAGCCGGAAAUAGCCGAAGUGGCCUCGACACAGAGG